AUGCAUGAAAGACUCAGGGAAUGAUUCAUCAUAUCCUAUGUAGAAAAAAGGCCCAGGUCCUUCUCCUCUCUGUCUAGCUCCCUCCAUUGAUCAAAAAAUCUCAAAAUUUUCUCCCAACCUAGCUAAUAUUCCCGCUUCUACGUCUUUGCUUCUCUCUCUAUGAUCCAUUUCAAUUUUUUUUUCUUUUGUUUCUUCUCUCCCUCGUCCUCCUGCAACAAUCCCAAGCCUUAAUCUCCUUUUCUUUGCUUGCGUUUACUUUCUUCAAACAUAAUAGGGUGAAAAUCAGAUCUGGGAGAGGGCUUAUGAAAUCGAGAAUCACAAUUCAUCGGGACUCACUUGAAGAGAAGAAAAGAAAAGCUUGGGCCCGCGAAGUAGAAGGUUCUACAGUUGAUAAAAAGUAAGAUGAGUUAUCAAAUUUGAAUCCUCCAAGUAUGAUCGAUGAACAAUCCAGUCAAAAUGUUGCAGUUGAAAAAGUUAUCUAUUCAACAAAUUGAUAAUUUGCUUAUUCUCUGAACGGAAGAGAGAGAUUUUUAGUUGGGAGUCUGCUUUGGGAAGUAUUUUAUUCAUUUUGCAUGUUGUGUACUAAGAACUGCACUGGGGAAAUAGAGUUGAUGACAAAAGAGAGAGAGCUUGGUUGGAGUUGAUGACUUCAUUCAACCCCUCAGAGAAGAUCUUUUGGCUAUUGUUAUCUUCCGCCAUCGAAUCCUAAAAUGGAUAUGGGGAGUUUACUCUAUCUGUGUUGAAUGGUUGUGUGGUGAAAUUAAAGGGAUGUUUAAGGGCGUUGUUUGUUAAUAAAUUGAAGGGUUGCAAGGUUUAUGUUGGCCCUGUAUCGGGUUCUUUUUUAAUUGAAGAUUAUAAUACAAUUAGAUUUAUAUGUAAUACAUCCUUAGUAAAAGAUAUAUUAUGU